rnacentral:rRNA from 1 species
CCAAUAGCGUAUAUUAAAGUUGCUGCAGUUAAAAAGCUCGUAGUUGAAUUUCGGGAUCGAUAUAUCGGUCGUGCCUCGGUACGUACUGGUAUUUUCGGUUUCUCCCUUCUGACGAACCUUGAUGUCAUUAAUUUGGUGUCUUGGGGAAUCAGGACUGUUACUUUGAAAAAAUUAGAGUGUUUAAAGCAGGCUCACGCUUGAAUACAUUAGCAUGGAAUAAUGAAAUAGGACGUUUGAUUCUAUUUUGUUGGUUUCUAGGAUCGACGUAAUGAUUAAUAGGGAUAGUUUGGGGCAUUAGUAUUCAAUUGUCAGAGGUGAAAUUCUUGGAUUUAUUGAAGACUAACUACUGCGAAAGCAUUUGCCAAGGAUGUUUUCAUUAAUCAAGAACGAAAGUUAGGGGAUCGAAGACGAUCAGAUACCGUCGUAGUCUUAACCAUAAACUAUGCCGACUAGGGAUCGGAUGAUGUUAAUUUUUUAAUGACUCAUUCGGCGCCUUACG